CCCUUAGAUGUUCUGGGCCGCACGCGCGCUACACUGAUGAACGCAACGAGACCACCUGUACCGAAAGGCAUGGGUAAACUUGUGAAAGUUCAUCGUGAUGGGGAUAGAUUAUUGCAAUUAUUAAUCUUCAACGAGGAAUUCCUAGUAAGCGCGAGUCAUCAGCUCGCGUUGAUUACGUCCCUGCCCUUUGUACACACCGCCCGUCGCUCCUACCGACUGAAUGGUCCGGUGAAAUCUUCGGAUUGCUGGAUAGGACUUCAUUGACCUAUCUGCGAGAAGUUGCUUGAACCUUAUCAUUUAGAGGAAGGAGAAGUCGUAACA
rnacentral:rRNA from 1 species